UACGUAGGGUGCGAGCGUUAAUCGGAAUUAUUGGGCGUAAAGAGCGCGCAGGCGGUCUGUUAAGUCCGAUGUGAAAUCCCCGGGCUUAACCUGGGAACUGCAUUGGAGACUGGCAGGCUUUGAGUGUGGCAGAGGGAGGUAGAAUUCCACGUGUAGCAGUGAAAUGCGUAGAGAUGUGGAGGAAUACCGAUGGCGAAGGCAGCCUCCUGGGCCAACACUGACGCUCAUGCACGAAAGCGUGGGGAGCAAACAGG
rnacentral:rRNA from 1 species